rnacentral:rRNA from 1 species
GCUUGCACCUUUCAAGUGAGUGGCGAACGGGUGAGUAACACGUGGACAACCUGCCUCAAGGCUGGGGAUAACAUUUGGAAACAGAUGCUAAUACCGAAUGAAACUUAGUGUCGCAUGAUACGAAGUUAAAAGGCGCUUUGGCGUCACCUAGAGAUGGAUCCGCGGUGCAUUAGUUAGUUGGUGGGGUAAAGGCCUACCAAGACAAUGAUGCAUAGCCGAGUUGAGAGACUGAUCGGCCACAUUGGGACUGAGACACGGCCCAAACUCCUACGGGAGGCUGCAGUAGGGAAUCUUCCACAAUGGGCGAAAGCCUGAUGGAGCAACGCCGCGUGUGUGAUGAAGGCUUUCGGGUCGUAAAGCACUGUUGUAUGGGAAGAACAGCUAGAAUAGGGAAUGAUUUUAGUUUGACGGUACCAUACCAGAAAGGGACGGCUAAAUACGUGCCAGCAGCCGCGGUAAUACGUAUGUCCCGAGCGUUAUCCGGAUUUAUUGGGCGUAAAGCGAGCGCAGACGGUUGAUUAAGUCUGAUGUGAAAGCCCGGAGCUCAACUCCGGAAUGGCAUUGGAAACUGG